UAAUACACACUUCAUCCUAAAUAUAACCCCACAGCAAAACAGCAUAUUGGAAUGGAAUACAGGAAUAUUAUGAAUUUGAUGUAGCUCUUAUACAUGUGGAAAAAGCUGUUGAGAUGACUUUUAAUUUACGACCAAUCUGCAUCCCAUGCACUAGAGAAACCAAUGGAGCUCUGAAACUUUCAGAAAGUGAAGGGACUUGCA